AGUGAACGCUGGCGGUAGGCCUAACACAUGCAAGUCGAACGGCAGCACAGUAAGAGCUUGCUCUUACGGGUGGCGAGUGGCGGACGGGUGAGGAAUACAUCGGAAUCUACUUUUUCGUGGGGGAUAACGUAGGGAAACUUACGCUAAUACCGCAUACGACCUACGGGUGAAAGCGGGGGAUCUUCGGACCUUGCGCGAUUGAAUGAGCCGAUGUCGGAUUAGCUAGUUGGCGGGGUAAAGGCCCACCAAGGCGACGAUCCGUAGCUGGUCUGAGAGGAUGAUCAGCCACACUGGAACUGAGACACGGUCCAGACUCCUACGGGAGGCAGCAGUGGGGAAUAUUGGACAAUGGGCGCAAGCCUGAUCCAGCCAUACCGCGUGGGUGAAGAAGGCCUUCGGGUUGUAAAGCCCUUUUGUUGGGAAAGAAAAGCAGCAGGUUAAUACCCCGCUGUUCUGACGGUACCCAAAGAAUAAGCACCGGCUAACUUCGUGC
rnacentral:rRNA from 1 species